UUGGCCACUGCUUGUUGCCUCAUUGUGUUACGUGUGUGUGUAUUUUUAUCCUUUGUUCUCUUUAUUUUCCCAUGAUGCUUUUAAGUUGUUAUCAUCCGGGAUCUUUGUGACACUGUUUUAUACUUCAUACUUUUAAGUCCUUAUGAUGUGACGCAGUUUCCUCUAAUGCUCUUGGGUCCGUGUGACGCGAAGUCUUUGUGUCCUUUGUGACGCGGAAGUCUGACAUGUUUCAAGGAUUACCUAUACAAGGACGAGAAAGACGGACAACGAGGCUUCUUCAUGUCACGACCUCGCCGCUGCUCUGGGAAACUACGCUGCUCGGAACGCUAACCACACGGAUGCCUGCUGUCUUUCGUUUUUGGACCGGCCGGAACUGUCGCUAACUUGGAAUACCCGCUGGGACGAACAUUUCCUUGUUUGGGAAGACUCGUUCAACAUUGCUCCUCAAAUGAAGUGCUUGUGGAUUGUUUGCUUCAUGGAUCCACUUAACGCCAUGAAGUAGCCCCCCACACGCCCACCCCCGCCCUUCACCGGGUACCGAUCAGCUCAAUGAGGAUUCGUUAGCCAACAGGCUAACCAGAACCAAAGACCUCGUUCAAGAUGCAGCUCGACGGCCGUUGACUUUACCUGGAUUUACUGGAUGCCGUUCUUACGUGAUGUCACCAUCCGUUUAUUGUGACCAAGUUCUCCCACUUGAAACUCCAUGUUUCUCAGCGACAUCCCAGAAACCUGUCUGAUCUAGAGAAGAUCUGUGAGGAGUGGGCCAAAAUGCCUCCUGCAUUGUGUGCAAACCUGGUGAACAACUACAGGAAACGUUUGACCACUGUAAUUGCAAACAACAUUGUUUUUCUCAAGUCUUCAAAUACGUAGU